GGACAACCUGCCCUCGGGUGGGGGAUAACCCCGGGAAACUGGGGCUAAUCCCCCAUAGGGGAUGGGUACUGGAAUGUCCCAUCUCUGAAAGCGCUUAGCGCCCGAGGAUGGGUCUGCGGCGGAUUAGGUUGUUGGUGGGGUAACGGCCCACCAAGCCGAAGAUCCGUACGGGCCAUGAGAGUGGAGCCCGGAGAUGGACCCUGAGACACGGGUCCAGGCCCUACGGGGCGCAGCAGGCGCGAAACCUCCGCAAUGCGGGAAACCGCGACGGGGUCAGCCGGAGUGCUCGCGCAUCGCGCGGGCUGUCGGGGUGCCUAAAAAGCACCCCAUAGCAAGGGCCGGGCAAGGCCGGUGGCAGCCGCCGCGGUAAUACCGGCGGCCCGAGUGGCGGCCACUUUUAUUGGGCCUAAAGCGUCCGUAGCCGGGCUGGUAAGUCCUCCGGGAAAUCUGGUCGCUUAACGAUCAGACUGCCGGAGGAUACUGCCAGCCUAGGGACCGGGAGAGGCCGGGGGUAUUCCCGGGGUAGGGGUGAAAUCCUGUAAUCCCGGGAGGACCACCUGUGGCGAAGGCGCCCGGCUGGAACGGGUCCGACGGUGAGGGACGAAGGCCAGGGGAGCGAACCGGAUUAGAUACCCGGGUAGUCCUGGCUGUAAACGAUGCGGACUAGGUGUCACCGAAGCUACGAGCUUCGGUGGUGCCGGAGGGAAGCCGUUA
rnacentral:rRNA from 1 species